GUAGUCUGCAACCCGACCUACANGAAGCUGGAAUCGCUAGUAAUCGCGGAUCAGAAUGCCGCGGUGAAUACGUUCCCGGGUCUUGUACACACCGCCCGUCACACCAUGGAGUCGGAAAUGCCCGAAGUCUGUGACCCAACCUUAGGGAGGGAGCAGCCGAAGGCAGGUCGGAUGACUGGGGUGAAGUCGUAACAAGGUAAC
rnacentral:rRNA from 1 species